UUACCUCGUGACCGUUGCCGCUGACGACGUCGGGGGCAUCACGGCGGCGAGAGAGCGGCAAAGGCAAUCGUCUCUGUUUCUUCCCAAAGUGAAACAAAGAUUUGGCCCUCAGGACGUCGUUGACCGAGCUCCGCCGUAUCGGGACAGUUCCCUUCGGGCAUCGUGUCCCGUUCCGGUGCCACAUUUGCCACGCAAUAGUCUCAUCUCCGCCGUCACCGCCGCCGUCCUUUUGUGUUUGCUUCUCCGCCACGGCGCCUUUUUUCACCUUUGGCAUUUGUGAUGGCGCUCUCUGUUUAUAUAAUUAUUAUUAAACAUCCCAAACUUAAUGAAUAAAAUUAAUGUAUACAACACCUAAUAAGUAACCCAAAUUGAUUAAUCA
rnacentral:lncRNA from 1 species